rnacentral:lncRNA from 1 species
GAUAGUAUGACCAGCUAGCCUGGCAUGGAAGCCCUGAGAAGCCAGGAUACCUGAGAUCCAAGACUGAAGGGAAUUUUGGACUUGGAACUGGGAAUGUACCCUAUGAGAAUUGGGCAAAGACAUGAAUCUCAUCCUUUUCCUGUUCCCAGAGAUUGAGGUGGUGCAAAGAGGAAGAGAUUAUGCCUCUCAUGGUGAGAGAGGAAAGAAGGGUGAAAUGUAGGCUUGUCUGGAUCCAGCUUUCAAGCUUUUCCCAACAAAUCAACUUUUACACGAGUGCAAUCCAAUUGGUAUUUAUUACGACAACCAUCCUAGCCCUAUUGCCUCUCUAGGUCAUUCACAAGAAAUGCUGCCACAUUUCAAAGUUGCCUAGCUUCCUCAAGUCCCACAGUUGGCAUGAAGAGAGCUCACUUCUGCUUCCAGAAUGUCCCCCACAUCAGCUCUUUCCUGGAAGCUACCACACUAAUCACAAGAGUUCUGGUAUUUGUCUUGGACUUCAAGUAUGUGAAGGCCUUUCCCAUAGAGGAGUAAUUCUGUGUGUUCUAUUUAACAAUGAGUAGAAAAGGCAAAGAGGCAAAUUAAGGCUUGAGUCGAGGAAAAACGUCCUAAUCAGAGUCAGUCUAAAACGGAAUGGUCUGCUUUAAGAGGCACCUGUCAGCUCCAGAUUCUCUUUUUUUCUCCACACACUGGGAAGGCAAGAAAAAGAAAAUCCAUUAUAAUAUGUAUCCUCAUGCAAUGAAUUCCUCCAUUGGCCAGGUCCAAAAAGGAAGAAAAAAAAAAAGAAAAACUCUUUCACUGGAUAUGGAUAGCAUUCUUUCUCAUAAGUUCCUCUGGAUUGGCCUGGAUUGUUGCAUUACUGCUAAUUGUGCCACACAUUGUGUAUCUUUCAAUAAAGUACCUAAAAAUAAAUUUACCGGCUUAGCUGGUUAUAUUGGUCAAACUGAAGAGAAAUAAAAUGUAACAAACCAUGAAAGUACAUAGUAAAACAGAUGAUUUCUUUUGUAAAAAUUAUUUGUUGUCCUUGGAAAGAAGACACCCUCUCCCCAUCAACCAUCUCCUGAUGACUACUUCAACUUUACUGUCUAAGAAGGGGUUCCCAGGAAGGUGAUGAACCCUCUCUAAAGGAAGAAUGGUUGAUAAUGAAAACUUCGUGUUGAGCUGAAAUCAGAGAUAGUUCACUUUUGCCUAUUUUUUCAUUGUAUAAAAUAUUAUAGCAUGACUCCUGUGGAAAAGCUAUGUAUAUUCACUGAAUAUUAUGUUUCAUUAUUUGUUGAGUAUAUUGUACAUCUUUCAAUAUAGAAGUAUCUAAAAAUAAAUUCACUCUGCUUGGC